rnacentral:lncRNA from 1 species
GGAAGCCGCCGGGGCCGCCUAGAGAAGAGGCUGUGCUUCGGCGCUCCGGCUCCUCAGAGAGCCUCGGCUAGGUGUGGAAACAGGAAGAGAACUAGAACUGGAAGUAAAGCAUUGAAGAUGUGACUGAAUUGCUGCAAUCUCAUGAUCAAAUUUGAAUGGAUGAGGAGUUGCUUUUUAGGGAUGAGCAAAGAAAGUGGUUUCUCGAGAUGGAAUCUACUGGUUGCUCCUUGAGGGCAGGACAGUUCUUAUGGCUUUAUCCGUUGCGUAAGCACAGAGAGGUCUGCGAGGUCAAAACUAUUGUCAUGAUAGCAAGAUGCCUGUCUUUUUCAUUUAUUCUCACGGUGUGCAGAGGCUACAUGAUGUGUGAUGACAUCCUCAUUGAUGUUAAUGAAUGGUGCUAUACUUGAAUUUUCUAAGGUGUCAUUAGGUAGGUUUAGGUAUGCAUACUUGUUUUUAGAAAUUAUUUUUUUCCUUUUUCCCAUUUUUAGAAAUCAACUCAUUUUUUAGGUUAUGCCUUCAGUAAUCUUUGCAACCUCAAUAUUGUGUAAUGGUUACUUUAAAAUACUGUAGUUUUCUUUGUGCCUAAGUAUAAACAUAAGUACAUUUUGUUGUUUUGUUUGCAAUAGUGGUUUAAAUAUUUUCCCAAAAUAUCCAAAUUUAAAAAUUCUACAACUUUAGAAUUUAAUAAAUUUAUUCUAAAAUAUUUAUAUAUUUUUUCAUUUAAGAAUGGAUCGGCUUAAAAAGACUGCUUCUCAUUUACUUACUGGCUAUACCAUCUGUAUACUAAUAAAAAACAAGAUUUGAUUUGGAAGGACUGACUCAAACUAACGAAAAUAUGAAACCUGUCUUUCUGCUUUGGAGAUAUUUACCUAAUCAUGUUCUGCAGUAGAAUAAUUUAGUUCUUUUGUCUUUUUUUGGAGAUGAGGUCUUGCUGUGUUGCCCAGGCUAUUCACAGCUGCCAUCAUAGUGAACUACAGCCUGAAACUCCUGGGUUCAAGAGAUCCUUCUGCCUCAGCCUCCUGAGUAGCUGGAACUAUAGGCAUGCGCCACCAAGCCUGGGCUUUUAAAAAAAUUUUAAAAAGAAUUUUGAGACAGGAUCUUGCCAUGUUGCUCAGGCUAGUCUUCAACUCCUAGCCCUGAGUGAUCUUGCUUUGGGCCUCUCAAAAUGUUGAGUUAAUAGGCGUGAGCCACCAUACCCAGCCAAAAAUUUUUUUAGAGAUGGGAAUGGAAUGAUCUUGAAUAGUGUUGGUGCCACCUAUGUUGUGGCAUCAUUUUGAAACCAAUCAUUCAGAGUGCUUUUUUUGGUAAGGCAUUAUUUUUUAAUGCAGGUAUGCCACUACUGGGAAAAAAAAAAAAACAGGUUUUAAAGCUAGAAAUGAAAAGCUACUUAAGUAUCUUAAAGGAUAAGUUACUUUAUUAUACACUAGAAACAUACACAAUAGCUGAAAAACUUAAAAAAUCUCACACUGCUGAAUGUCUCUGCUGGCUGAAGUGUAAGUAAAAGAUCAUAGUAGUGCCGCUGUUGAGUGAUAAAGCAACUUGUCAUUAAAGAUGUGUGUGCAGACAUGGAUUCUGAGUUAAUAUCUCAUCUGUAGAAGUAUAUAUUUGUCCCUUGCUUUGGGAUUGGUUUCUGGACAGCACUCCCCCACCCUUGCUGGCCAUUUGCCAAGGACACCAAAACCCAAGGAUGUUGAAUUCCCUUUUAUAAAAUGGCGCUGUAUCUGCAUACAACUUACACACAUCCUCCCAUAUACUUUAAAUCAUUUCCAGAUUUCUUAUACUUCAUACAAUGUGAAUGCUAUAUAAAUAGUUGUUACAUUGUGUACUUAUAUUUGUACUAUUGUAUUAAAUAUUCUCAAAUAUUUUCA